rnacentral:rRNA from 1 species
GUGAGGAAUAUUGGUCAAUGGGCGAGAGCCUGAACCAGCCAAGUCGCGUGAAGGAAGAAGGAUCUAUGGUUCGUAAACUUCUUUUGCAGGGGAAUAAAGUGCAGGACGUGUUCUGUUUUGUAUGUACCCUGAGAAUAAGGAUCGGCUAACUCCGUGCCAGCAGCCGCGGUAAUACGGAGGAACAGAGCGUUAUCCGGAUUUAUUGGGUUUAAAGGGUGAGGAGGUGGUUUGAUAAGUCAGCGGUGAAAGUUUGCAGCUUAACUGUAAAAAUGCCGUUGAAACUGUCGGACUUGAGUGUAAAUGAGGUAGGCGGAAUGCGUGGUGUAGCGGUGAAAUGCAUAGAUAUCACGCAGAACUCCGAUUGCGAAGGCAGCUUACUAAGCUACAACUGACACUGAAGCACGAAAGCGUGGGGAUCAAACAGGAUUAGAUACCCGUGUAGUCC